rnacentral:sRNA from 1 species
AGCCCACCCGCCCCAGAGACUGCCCACCCUGGGCCUCCCGUCCGUCCGCCCGCCCGCACCGCUGCCUGGCGGGCAGCCCCUGCUGGACCAAGCCCAGAACGGGCCUCCCCGGACGCUGGCUCGGGACUGUCUUCAACCCUGCCCUGCACCUGGGGCACGGGAGAGCACCACCCGCCCGCCCCCGCCCUCGUUCCGGGUGCGUGACCGGCCCGCCACCUUGUACAGGACCAGCACUCCCAGGGCCCGAGCGCGUGCCUUCCCCGUGCGGCCCGUGCGCAGCCGCGCUCUGCCCCUCCAUCCCCAGGGUGCAGGCGCGCACUGCCCAACCCCCACCUCCCGGUGUAUGCAGUGGUGAUGCCUAAAGGAAUGUCACGC